GAGAGAGACAUGCGCGCAUAUCAAUAAGCGGAGGAAAAGAAACUAACAAGGAUUCCCUUAGUAACGGCGAGUGAAGCGGGAAGAGCUCAAAUUUGAAAUCUUCAAGGUUUUACCUUGACGAAUUGUAGUUUAAAGAAGUGUUUUCUGCUGAAGUUUUGGUAAAAGUUCUUUGGAAUAGGACAUCAUAGAGGGUGAGAAUCCCGUAUUUGACCAUUAUUUUCAGCUUUGUGAUACACUUUCAAAGAGUCGGAUUGUUUGGGAAUGCAGUCCAAAAUGGGUGGUAAAUUUCAUCUAAAGCUAAAUAUUGGCGAGGAGACCGAUAGCGAACAAGUACCGUGAGGGAAAGAUGAAAAGAACUUUGAAAAGAGAGUUAAACAGUACGUGAAAUUGUCAAAAGGGAAGCGUUUGACACCAGUGUUGUUUUCUCGAAAAUCAAUUAAAAAUGGCUCGAUUUUGUAUUGUUGAGACCUUAAAAGCUCACUGUACAUUUUUCGUGUCUUUUUUAAUGCACUUUUCGUUUAACAAGUCAACAUCAGUUUCUUUUGUUGUAAAAGGGUCAUUGGAAGGUGGCUUUCUUUUCGGAGAAAGUGUUUAUAGCCUUUGGCCUCUGCAAUCGGAGAGACUGAGGUCUGCAGCGUAGACUCUUCGGGGUUAGAUACAUUUGUGCUAAGUUAUAGCUUUUUAUAGACAACUUGUUGACUAUAAUUAGUCUUGUAGCUUACUCGCUUAUGCUAUUUUACCUACGCUUAGGAUGUUGAGUCGUAGAGCACGCAG
rnacentral:rRNA from 1 species